UACGUAGGGUGCAAGCGUUGUCCGGAAUUAUUGGGCGUAAAGAGCUUGUAGGCGGUUUGUCGCGUCUGCUGUGAAAUUUCGGGGCUCAACCCCGAACUUGCAGUGGGUACGGGCAGACUAGAGUGUGGUAGGGGAGACUGGAAUUCCUGGUGUAGCGGUGAAAUGCGCAGAUAUCAGGAGGAACACCGAUGGCGAAGGCAGCUCUCUGGGACGGUACUGACGCUGAGACGCGAAAGCGUGGGGAGCGAACAGG
rnacentral:rRNA from 1 species